UGGCUCAGAGGUUAAGAGCACUGGUUGCUCUUCCAGAGGACCUGGGUUCAAUUCCCAG
rnacentral:tRNA from 1 species